rnacentral:rRNA from 1 species
GAUGAACGCUGGCGGCGUGCCUAAUACAUGCAAGUCGAGCGAACGGACGAUAAGCUUGCUUCUCUGAUGUUAGCGGCGGACGGGUGAGUAACACGUGGAUAACCUACCUAUAAUACUGGGAUAACUUCGGGAAACCGGAGCUAAUACCGGAUAAUAUUUUGAACCGCAGGGGUCAAAAGUAAGAGACGGUGUUGCUGGCACGUCUAGAUGGUUCCGGGCUGCAUGAGCUAGUUGGUAAGUUAACGGCUUACCAAGGGAGCGAUGCAUAGACGAACUGAGAGGGUGAUCGGCCACACUGGAAGUGAGCCACGGUCCAGACUCCUACGGGAGGCAGCAGUAGGGUAUCUUAGGCAAUGGGGGAAAGCAUGACGCAGCGACGCCGCGUGAGUGAUGACGGUCUUGGGUUCGUAAUACUCUGUUACUAGGGAAGAACAUACGUGUACGUAACUGUGCACAGCUUGACGGUAACUAAUCAGAAAGCAACGGCUAACUACGUG